rnacentral:rRNA from 1 species
AUUGAACGCUGGCGGCAGGCCUAACACAUGCAAGUCGAGCGCGAAAGGUUUUCGGACUGAGUAAAGCGGCGGACGGGUGAGUAACGCGUGGGAAUCUGCCCAGUAGUGGGGGACAACAGCCGGAAACGGCUGCUAAUACCGCAUACGCCCUACGGGGGAAAGGGGGGGAUCUUCGGACCUCUCGCUAUUGGAUGAGCCCGCGUCGGAUUAGCUAGUUGGUAGGGUAAAGGCCUACCAAGGCUACGAUCCGUAACUGGUCUGAGAGGAUGAUCAGUCACACUGGAACUGAGACACGGUCCAGACUCCUACGGGAGGCAGCAGUGGGGAAUAUUGGACAAUGGGCGCAAGCCUGAUCCAGCCAUGCCGCGUGUGUGAAGAAGGCCUUAGGGUUGUAAAGCACUUUCAGUGGGGAGAAAGGUUUGUCACCUAAUACGUGAUGAGAUUGAUGUUACCCACAGAAGAAGCACCGGCUAACUCCGUGCCAGCCGCCGCAGUAAUAC